rnacentral:tRNA from 1 species
CCGUGUGGCCUAAUGGACAAGGCGCCAGAUUCCGACUCUGGAGAUUGCGUGUUCAAGUCACGCCUC